rnacentral:lncRNA from 1 species
CUGUGACCUUGGCAAUUUUGUAAAACCCUCUGAGCCUAGCUUUCUCACAUGUAAAGUGAUGAUAAUGGGUAAUUCCCAUGGCCGUUGUGAGAUUAAAUUAAAAGGGUUAAAUUUUAUUUAUAAAGCACCUAGCAUAUAUUAGACACUCAAUAUUGGGUCACAUCUCUGCAAAUCUGAUGGGAAAUGUCUUCCCUAAGGGAAGAUUUUCUGUUUCUGGAAUUUCACUCCCUAGAACUUUCCAUGCUUGAGUCAUGCAUUAGCUUUUGACAAGUUAUUUUAUUUAACUCUCCCUCUUGGCAAUCGCUACCUGUGAUGACACACAAAGCGGGAAACUACAUCCCAGCAGCUACAAAUAAUAGCAAGCAAUCUUUUGAACUAUUUGCCUUGAGGAAAGGCUAAAAAGUUAUUGAGUCGUGAGUGCAGUUUGCCACGUCACGAUGUAUUUCCCACUGUUUUCUUAGGCUAUUUUCUUUGCCUCCUUUAAGAUAUUUUCUGGAAACUUUUGCUGAACGGUAGCCAAUUGUGAGCGAAAGCUUCUGUAACCAUUCUCUUGCUGAAAGUAACUCGGAGAUCUCAUUUUGCCACAUGGAAGACAGCAGACUCUCUACUUCUCUUCCCUUAGGUCACAAUGGCCUAUAGGAUAUUGCUUUUAGAAGCAAUGCUAUAAGGAACCCUUUUUCUUGCACCAGUAGGAGGUGGAGUCUUGCUCUGUCGCCCAGGCUGGAGUGCAGUGGAGCGUGAUCUUGGCUCACUGCAAGCUCCGCCUCCUGGUUCACGCCAUUCUCCUGCCUCAGCCUGCGGAGUAGCUGGAACUACAGGUGCCUGCCACCACACCCGGAUAAUUUUUUGUAGUUUUAGUAGAGAUGAGGUUUCACCGUGUUAGCCAGGAUGGUCUCGAUCUCCUGACUUCGUGAUCCACCGCGCCUGGCCGACAUCACAUUUUACUUCUGUCCAUCAGCUCCUCAGUUUAGGAAAAUCUUAUCUUCCUAACAAAUAGAAAACUCUUGUAGCUCAAAUAAGAGGAAAAGAUGAGGCCUAAUGUUUAAAGUCCUGAUGGAUUCAAAGCCCUGAUGGAGUCUCUCCACUCCUCAUACCUGAAGUCUGAAUAUUUGUCAUCUCAGAUUAUCUACAACUAAGGAGGGAACCUGACUUUUUCUUUGUCCCAGAGUGGGCAGGUUAUUCUCCCUCCCAAUACAAACCACCUUAAGGAAAAGAUACAACUUAUUGGCAUAAAUGGCUGGGAUUGUUCUGAGGUUGUUCAUAGGUUCAAAGAAAUUGCUGCAGGGACUAGAACAAGGCCUCACACCACCAAGAUUUUCCUCACUUCUUCAGGCAGCCUUCUGCCUACCUGUCCCGCAUGGCGUCAUUCCUCAGAAGGCUUCUCCAGGCUCCUGGAAGAAAAAUGGAACUAAAAAGGGAAAACAAUAGCAACAAAGAUCAAAAUAAAUAACAAGGAAGCGGAGAGAAGAAAGAACAUGGUGAAGAGAGUGAAACGCAUUGUCAUUUGGGGUGAAUUGCAGAAAGAAAUAAAUUAUUGUUCUUAUAUAUAAGUGA